UUUUGCUACUCUGCUAUUAUUGCUGUACUUUCCAUCAUAUUAUAGCAAUGCAGCACUGCAAUGGGUCUGCUGGGUUGGUUGCCAAACAAGAGGCUUCAGUCUCGGCUCCUACAAUUCACAACAAUGAGGCAUUUCCCUGCAGGAGCUCUGGUCCUUCGAGGGCACGCAAAAAGGCCCUGCAAGCUUCCUAUCCAUACAGCUGUAGAUUACAACUUGGGCUAUAGUACUAUAGCCAUUCACUGCCAAGAGGACAGUGAUGCAGGACUUUUGCCUACUGAAUCUCAGGGAAGCAUGCUUCUAAGUAUCUACUGUUGUUUUCUGGAGCUGUACUGAGUGUGCACACAGUGAGCACAACAGAAUAGCACAACGCAAUAGAGAGCGUGGAUGUGGCAGAAGGGCAGAGCCUCUGGGAGAGAGGCACAUGUGCCCUCUGCGUGGACACAGCGUGGGGAAAGUGUGGUUUGGGAAGCUCAGCUCUACGCUCUGCUGCUUGGAUGUGUUGGCUUCCAGAGUCCCCGACACCCAUGUCAGGUGAGACAUGGAGAACUGGAGGCAGUGUGACACAAAGCCACUGACCUCAGACCACCACUGGCUCCUCUCCCAAUUCCCUUCCUGUAACCAAGACAGCUUUGUCAGCAUAGAUGUGCCUUUCAUGGAGUCUCAUGUGAAGACCUCUGCACUUCCUAGAAAGAAGGAACAAGACUUGAGCAGGAAAUCUGGUGAAGAGGAUGCCGUCCAUGAGCAACUGCUGCAGGAGCCAGGGGGUGCACAGUGCAGGGAAGAGCCAGCAAAUGUGCUGGAUCCCAUGUAACAAGGAACAGGUGCCUGGGGCUUCAUCUGCCUCGCACUGACACUUCACCUGUGUGAGAGCCUUUGACCGCGAUUUCUUACUCAGGAAAGCAGCAAACUUCCCCUCAGUUCCCUUGUGCAAGAAUCUGGCCGCAAUACAUUUUCCAGAUGCUAGCGAUACAGAUGGUGAGAUUGCAGAUUAACGUCUUCUCAUGACCUCGAUGCCAUCGGCUGCCUGUUGGGGGCAGGGCUGCACUCGGUGUAGGUGAAGUGCCUGCUAAAUCGGCCCGAGCUUUGCUGCUGUAAUAACCACAACAGCCUCUUAUUUGGGCUCCCGGUGCUUCACCUCUUGCCACUGUCCGUUGUUUAAAAUAGCCAUUCAUUGCAGUAUCGUUGGUUUGGGGGCAGGGAAACUGUUGCGGGCGGCUGAAAUGUAGAAGCAUCCCAUCAGUCUUCUUGGCUGGGGAUGGCUGAAGGUGAAGUAUUGUCCAGGAAGAGAGAGGGAGCAGCAAGAGAGCUGUCUUAAUUCCACCUAAACAUCCCAGGCUGUCUAUGUGAUGUCGAAGUACAGCAGCCUGGCUAACACACUGAUAAGGGGAGCUGCAGAGGACUGCUUUCCCCAGCAGAAACCACCACCACCUUCUCCAGGUUCACCCCAAGUGCCCUAUUUCCUUUGCCAUUACCAAAAUUCAUGUACCCACACCAAUUGCAGGUGCUCCUUGUGCCCCUUGCAUUGAUACCAAUCCCCAGUGGCACUUUCACUGCUGGGCUGACUUUUUCGCAUUAAGAAAUGGUUGGUGCCAGUAAAUCUCACCAAAAACCACGCUUAAGGCAGAGAAGCAAUCAGCUCAGCUUGGUUACAUGCUUAAUUCAAUGGGUUGUGGAAGAGGGAAAAAGGAACCACUCACCACUAUUGGAUUUCAUCUUGCUUUCAGUCUGUUUAGGAGUAGCUAUUUAACACUUCUGUUUUUCUAAUCAUUCUGUUGGACGCUGGAACAAAUGGCCACACUCAGUGGAAAAUAGCACUGUUAGCAGCUCAGGGUUUUCAGUGGGGACCUGCAGCCUCUCCAGGACUUGGACAGCCCUGCAGUGUGUGGGCAGUGAUGUUUCCCAUGACAUUUGGAUGCUUGCUGCUCUCUAAGCCCUGCUGCUUAGAGCAAUACCACAUCCUACUACUGCAGGAGAGUUGCAAGCCAUGUCGGGGAUGUUUUUAUGCCUUGCAAGUACGAAGCUAUCCCAGGAUUCUCAAUACCCCCAGCUCUCCAAACUGAUUCUUGGCGUUGCUGCCAUCAGCCAAAACCUGGCACAAGAAGCAAUGAGUUUUCCGGGUUAUGGAUUCUUGCACUUCAAGAAAAUGCUGCCUCUAGAGUUGUUGGAUUUUGUGCCGGAAGUGCAAAAAUGUGGCUGAGCUGGAGGACUUUUCUUCCACUUGAGAGUUAUGCUGGGCUUGCUGCUAAUCUCCCCUUGCAAAGUGAGAGAGAGAGAGAGCACCAGGAGUAAUCUUAUUUCAGGAUUGGUCUUCAGGAUGGGAAUGCAGGAGUUCAGGGCCCUGGGUCUGGCCAGGUCAUUGCUGGUGCCUUGAGCCAAAGGGCUUUGCCCACACCAAAGCUGCAUUCCUUGCACCCAAGCAGAAGGGCAAUCCCCCAGAGAACUGCCACAAAGGAGCACUUGGGAUGAUCACAAACCACACAGGGCAGCACUAGGAGAGCCAUUAGUGGCACGUGGGCACCCUCCAUAGGGUAAGGGGCAGCUGGUGUCAGCUCAGCGUGGGCGCUUGGUUGGUGGCUAGGAGUGCAAGAAGUGAUCUGGUAAGCUAACAAAUGGCAGCUGCCUGGCAGAGGCUUUGAGAUGUGUAUCUGAAGAAGUCAUUUCUUCAGAUUUCAGACAUUCAAUGCAUGCAGCCCCCUGAGUGCAUGGAGCAUUUUGGCUUUUAGCACACUUAGAGAAGCCUUAAUGGGUUUUGAAAGAGGCAAGAAAGAAUCCAUUAAUGUGUUCCUUUGUUUUCACAGCCUAUUAUCAACCCUCUCUGAUGAUCCAUGCUCUGACCUGUUAUAGGGCAACUAAUGCAGUGGUUAAUGGCAGGAAAAUGUUUACUAAGUGAAGCCCUUGGAAUUGGAGAGAGAGAGAGAAUAGAGUGGAAUCUCUCCUUGGAGACCUCUUGCCUCUAAGGCUGGUGGUAGACCUGAGGUUUUUUAAGGAUCUUGACCCUUCUACUGCUAGCCCUCAGUGCGAAAUUAACACCUUCUUUCCGCUUUGAUACAGACAAACUUGAAUUUUCAGUUUCUCUGAGGUUGGUUUCUGCUUUUUAAAGAUGAGCACUCAAGCCCUACCCUCUCUGCUGCUUGCUGAGGCAUCUGUGUGCUUUCUUCUGCUUCUCAAAUACCUGAGGAGCCAACCCAGCUCAUCCACAGCCACUGCCUUUCUAGAUUAGCUCCAUACACACCUGGGAAUACUCCGGUCUUCCCUAUCUGUACAGUUCUCAUGGAAACAAAUCUAAUUGGGUAGAUUUAUUCCACACGAGGCAGACUAGGAAAUGUAUUCUUUGAGACAGAUAACCCAAAUUUAUGGCAAGUCAAAGCCAACCGGUGUUUUGUCUUUACAUAAUUUCCUGCUCCUUCCCCUGCAGCGUUUAAUCCUCUGUGAUUAAUUACACUGAGACUUACUGAGGUCACAAUAGAUGGGGCAGGAGAGAGCCACGUGCAAAAUAACAAUCACUGUUCACUCUUCUUCACGUAAGUGGUUAAUUCUUCAAAUACUGUCAGUGGGAGUUGUUUUCAUUGGGAGUAAUUAGUCCAGUAGGAGGAUUAUUACCUGUCUUAUUAUGGAUAAGAAAGAGAAGGUAAUUUGCACAGUGCUGCUGCCUUCAUUCACCUGAAGACUGUUGUUGCUGUUAGAGGCUGUUGGGAAUUACUGGGGUGACAAGGCUCCCUCUAGCCAAAGCCAGACAUCAACCUGGCACCCGUGCAUGGGUUUUGAAAAUAAAAAAUCAAACAAAUAAAAAACCAGCACCAAAGCAUCGAUUUGGAAAUCACCUCUAUUCUUCCAGCACCAGGGUAACAGCAGUAAGGUUCUGUGAACCUGGCACAAGAUAAGGUUCAGGUGUUCCCUCUGCCAUGUCCUAAGAAUGACUUGAGCCAUCCUAGGCAUUGUCUGCCUGGGCUUUAUGUUGGGAACAGCAGUGGCUCAGCCUGAAUUCCGGGUAUCUGAACAAAAACCGUUUGUCCUGCGAUCCCGUUCUGAUCUCCCAGGGAAGGACCGUGUGCCACCUUGUGGCUAAAAUACAGAUCGACUCAACCAAGGAGGAGGGGAGAGAAGGAAAGUGACAGCAAUUCCUUAAGCAGGCGCCACGGCCAUCACCUUCUUUCAAAGGCUUCAGCAAAGGCCUGCCCUCAAAACUCAGUUCUUCUAAGGAACCCCGGGUGUUUUCAUCUGCAAAGGGUGCAGAACAGGGGAGGUUCUGCUCUUCGCGCAGCAGAGGAAACUGCCUGAAACACCAAAGAGGAAUUCCUGCUGCCCACCAUUGAAAAGCAUCCCACCACCGAGAGCUGCUCCUGCUGAUUAAACCUCCACUCACCGGCUUGUUCUGGAUUUCCAUGACCACAGCCUUCACCCUGCAAAGUCAGCUGUGCAUCACUUCCAACACGUGAGACAUCAGCUAAAUCAAUGGAGGCAGCUCAGAAAUCACAGGCCAUUAGUAAUGCAUCGAUGGGUUUGAAGGAUCUCUGCAUUAACCAGCACAGACCCUGUGGAGCAGUUCCCAUCUCCACAGAUGCUUGCUUUAUUCACCUUUCUGCUAGACAGAUUAUUCUGAUGCAGCAGGCAGCCAAAUUAAACUGGAUUUACCCAUGUCAAACAACCCUUAGGCCAGCUAUAAACUAUCAUAGAGUCAAAGAAUGGCUUGGGUUGGGAGAAUCUUAAAGAUCACCCCCUGCUGGGGGCAAGUUGCAUACCGUGAAAUCAGGCACCAGAUCCAGCUGCCCAGGGCCCCAUCCAACCUUGCCUUGAGCACCUGCAGGGAUGGGGGUUGUACUGUGUACUUGGCUUGACUGUGGUUUUCUUGGCUCAUGCCAGCAAUGCCCCAGUCAGAGCUAAAGCCCCAAGCAGAGGGGUUUCCCUCCUGCAGAAUCCCUGCUGGGUCUCUUGCAAGGCAGGGCUGGUUGCUGAGCAGGGGCAGCGCAGGCCCCAUGGCAGCCAGGAUCCCUGGUUAUGUGAUGCAGUUUUUGUUUCCCUCAUUUCUCAGUAUUUCUGAUCUGACUUCUAGUUCAGGCUUGCCUCUGCCUCCCCUCUUUGUUAUUGUUCAGAACACUGUGAUCCAGAGAGCAGACCAGAUAAAGUAACCACUGUGUCAAGUGCCUCCAGGCAAGGGCUACCUGAAGGAUAAAGAGAUAAGAGAGUCCUGGUCCAUAACUACAGAGAUGGCUGAUAAGAGCCUUACCUGUGCUCUCCUCUUGCAGGAGGGGUUGGAAAGGCAGCCCCAAAGCCCAUGUAACCACUGCUUCACGGAGAGAAUACCUGAGGAGCACACAAACACAGGAGAGCAGGGGCAGCCAGCAACCAGCGACAUCCUGUAGGAGCGCACAGCAGUGAUUUGGGAGCAGAUCAAUUAGUGAGAACCCAAUCCAAAUUUGAGAUUAGCAUUCACCAGCAGUGUAACAAGCUGCGUACUGUGGGAUGGCUGACAAGGAGGCAAGCAUGCACUCUUAUUUGCUUUUCAGCACCUUCAGUGUCUGAGGAAUACACAGUUUGCUCCACAAGUAAUGCCUCCUAAUUAUUUAUGCAGAAACUACAACAGAUACAAAGAGCACAGCAGCACUCUUCAAU